rnacentral:sRNA from 1 species
AUGAAAUGUACGAGAUUAGUCACAUGACCAUAACCCUGAAAUGUGACAUCAUUGUGUACAGAAAUAGAAGAAAGGCAAAAUGUAAAUGGCAAUAGGACAAGUUAGAAUAACGACGUAUUGGACCAUUUCCAUCCAAAACGUCUUAGCUCUUAGUUCUAUUUGCUUCUUCUAACUCAGUGUGUUCGUGAAAUAUGCAGUGAACUAUUAACAUAAAACAAAGCUGUCCUGUUACCGCUAACAUUUAAGCAAGAAGUCAUUGUCACUGAAAUAAAAGCUGUUCUCAAAAACAAUAAAACUACAAAGGAAUCCAAAUCAACUAUGGAUAAAUGUGUUUAGUUGAUAAAAUGUCGAAAAACAUUGAAGAACAUCUUCCAAAUAAAGAAUUCAGU